AUUGAACGCUGGCGGCAGGCCUAACACAUGCAAGUCGAGCGGAGCGGCGGACGGGUGAGUAAUGCCCAGGUAUCUGCCAGGUCGUGGGGGAUAAGGUCCGGAAAUGGGCGCUAUUACCGCAACCUAUCCGAUGAGCCUAUGUCGGAUUAGCUAGUUGUUGGGGUAAAGGCAUAUCAAGGCGACGAUCCGUAACCGGUCUGAGAGGAUGAUCAGUCACACUGGAACUGAGACACGGUCCAGACUCCUACGGGAGGCAGCAGUGGGGAAUAUUGGACAAUGGGCGAAAGCCUGAUGCAGCCAUGCCGCGUGUGUGAAGAAGGUCUUCGGAUUGUAAAGCACUUUAAGUUGGGAGGCGUUACCAACAGAAUAAGCACCGGCUAACUUCGUGCCAGCAGCCGCGGUAAUUC
rnacentral:rRNA from 1 species